rnacentral:rRNA from 1 species
GGGGAGCAAACAGGAUUAGAUACCCUGGUAGUCCACGCCGUAAACGAUGUCGACUUGGAGGUUGUGCCCUUGAGGCGUGGCUUCCGGAGCUAACGCGUUAAGUCGACCGCCUGGGGAGUACGGCCGCAAGGUUAAAACUCAAAUGAAUUGACGGGGGCCCGCACAAGCGGUGGAGCAUGUGGUUUAAUUCGAUGCAACGCGAAGAACCUUACCUGGUCUUGACAUCCACGGAAGUUUUCAGAGAUGAGAAUGUGCCUUCGGGAGCCGUGAGACAGGUGCUGCAUGGCUGUCGUCAGCUCGUGUUGUGAAAUGUUGGGUUAAGUCCCGCAACGAGCGCAACCCUUAUCCUUUGUUGCCAGCGGUCCGGCCGGGAACUCAAAGGAGACUGCCAGUGAUAAACUGGAGGAAGGUGGGGAUGACGUCAAGUCAUCAUGGCCCUUACGACCAGGGCUACACACGUGCUACAAUGGCGCAUACAAAGAGAAGCGACCUCGCGAGAGCAAGCGGACCUCAUAAAGUGCGUCGUAGUCCGGAUUGGAGUCUGCAACUCGACUCCAUGAAGUCGGAAUCGCUAGUAAUCGUGGAUCAGAAUGCCACGGUGAAUACGUUCCCGGGCCUUGUACACACCGCCCGUCACACCAUGGGAGUGGGUUGCAAAAGAAGUAGGUAGCUUAACCUUCGGGAGGGCGCUUACCACUUUGUGAUUCAUGACUGGGGUGAAGUCGUAACAAGGUAACCGUAGGGGAACCUGCGGUUGGAUCACCU